GUGGAUGCUUGAGCCACACUUAUACUAAAAUUAUGCAUUCAGAGAAGACUGGCAUGGCCCUUGCACAAGGGUGACAUACAAAUCUGUGAAGAAUUCCAAAAACAA